rnacentral:rRNA from 1 species
GAUGAACGCUGGCGGCGUGCUUAACACAUGCAAGUCGAGCGAGAAAAGUUCUUCGGAGCUUUUCUAGCGGCGGACGGGUGAGUAACACGUGGGCAACCUGCCUCAUAGGGGGGAAUAGCCUUCCGAAAGGAAGAUUAAUACCGCAUAACAUUGUUGAAAGGCAUCUUUUAACAAUCAAAGGAGCAAUCCGCUAUGAGAUGGGCCCGCGGCGCAUUAGCUAGUUGGUGAGGUAACGGCUCACCAAGGCGACGAUGCGUAGCCGACCUGAGAGGGUGAUCGGCCACAUUGGAACUGAGACACGGUCCAGACUCCUACGGGAGGCAGCAGUGGGGAAUAUUGCACAAUGGGGGAAACCCUGAUGCAGCAACGCCGCGUGAGUGAUGAAGGUCUUCGGAUUGUAAAGCUCUGUCUUUAGGGACGAUAAUGACGGUACCUAAGGAGGAAGCCACGGCAAACUUCGUGCCAGCAGCCGCGGUAA